AGAAGAUACUUCGGAAUUUUGGUUCGUCCGGUUCCUUUUUCUUUCAGAGAGUAAUUUCAAUUCAAUUAAUUUUCUUGGUCUAUAAAGUAGUUUUGUAAAAUGUGAAUUUCUUUCUUAUUCUGUCUUUAAUUAUAUUGACUUAGAUUUCCAAAAUUAUGAUUACAUGUCCCUUUGGUGAAAUUACGAACACAUAGUAAUCUUAUGAGUAGAAAUAUUUUGCAUGUCACAUAAAGUGAUAAAGAUGCAUAUAUUGAUAUAGAAAUCACAUCACUUCUAUUUGUAAUUCAUUAAUUCUUCCUCAGAGACAAUGGGAACUGUGUUUCUCAGUUUAUCCCACACUUGCAAUGAAAACUCAUUUGCUGCUUUGUAAUAGAUUUUAUUUGGAAUUCUAUAUGAACCAGUCUCUUCAUCCUCCAGUAAAAGAAAUCCCAAGAUACUAAUUAACAAUUUCUACCGCUUGUGAUUUAUUUUUCCUUUUCGUUUUU
rnacentral:misc_RNA from 1 species